rnacentral:rRNA from 1 species
AGCGAACGCUGGCGGCAGGCCUAACACAUGCAAGUCGAACGGACCCUUCGGGGUUAGUGGCGGACGGGUGAGUAACACGUGGGAACGUGCCUUUAGGUUCGGAAUAGCUCCUGGAAACGGGUGGUAAUGCCGAAUGUGCCCUUCGGGGGAAAGAUUUAUCGCCUUUAGAGCGGCCCGCGUCUGAUUAGCUAGUUGGUGAGGUAACGGCUCACCAAGGCGACGAUCAGUAGCUGGUCUGAGAGGAUGACCAGCCACACUGGGACUGAGACACGGCCCAGACUCCUUCGGGAGGCAGCAGUGGGGAAUCUUGCGCAAUGGGCGAAAGCCUGACGCAGCCAUGCCGCGUGAAUGAUGAAGGUCUUAGGAUUGUAAAAUUCUUUCACCGGGGACGAUAAUGACGGUACCCGGAGAAGAAGCCCCGGCUAACUUCGUG